AAUCUCUUAAGGAGCUCCCUACAUCCAGGCCCAAUAUCCACUGACACAGGAGGUUAAGCUUCCGUAUUUUAGCAUUACUGGCCUUCUGCUAAAGCAUAAACCGGUCCUGAGUAUAAGACUGAUUUGCCUAAUUCCUACCCACAAGAGCGGAAAUACUGUGCCUUGUUAUUGAGUAACUCUGAUGAAGGAAAGAGAUCUGUUUUCUGUAAUGUAGGCCCCAGGCUGUGUCAAGGCAUUUUCCAAGCUUAGCACCGAGUUAUGCAUUUCUUAAGAUAAGAGAGUUUCAAUGCUAGAAGGAUGAGUGGACACUCUCAAGACCAUACUGAUGUCUGGCUUUGGUGCUUUUGCUCAUCUGUUCAUGGGGUCAUGUUGGAGCUCACCCUAGCUGUGAGGAGGGAAAGCAAACAGUAUAAACUCCCAUCUGCGGCUCCAGGCAAGUCAGCAUUAGGGAUUUAUCUGUUGCCUGAAAUGCUACCAGGAAGCAUUUCAUUCCCUUACUCCAAACCCUGCAAAAUACUCUUUUUCUUUGUUCUUAAUUAAAUCCCCAGGUAGGUUCAGGAGCACAGAUCCUGUGGCAGAAGUGAGUGUUAUGACUUGAAAGAAGCCACUGGUGCUGAAGCAGAGGGAGCAGGGGCCAGAGAGGUACAAGAUGGGGCAAUGAAGGACAGUAUGUGAAGUGACUCACAGGUCCAGGGCAGUUAACCAUGUAUGUCAAAGCCAGGAAAGCAAGAACUGGUUGGGGGGGGGAGGAGCAUUGAAAUGGUAAUAAUAUUGAACAGGGAAGUUAAGCAGAGGAUAGAAAGGAAGAAAGGCUUUAUUGGUUUUAUGAUUCUUUGUAAUAUAAGCCCUAAUGGAUAUGGCCAUAACCCAUAUUCCACCUACUGGUGGAUCUAUAAGUGAUUUCUCCUGCUGGAAAUCAGGGCUGCAAGUGGGUGUGGGGGACAGUGGUUGUUUUCUCUGCCUCGUCUGGUCCAACCCCCCGAGGUGCUCAAGUCCUGUUUCUCCUCCUGGUCACUAGAAAUAGCAAGUUGACUUCUCCCUGGACAGACUCAGUAACUCAAAGGCAUCCCUCUCUGUGUUGAGACCAGACCACUUGGCAGUUGCCUGAAUGGAGUUGGUUACUGUGGGACUGAACACAUCUUGGGAGAUUUUGACACAUUUUGUAGGGAAAACAUGUGAAAUUAGUUCAAGCAAGUUGCUAGGUAUUUGCACUUGGUGAGGAAUGUGACUACAUUUUAUUACCUGUUCAACAAGCCUCCUGGAGAAGGAGAACCAAGGCCUGUCACGUUCACAGCUUCCCACAACACUGAGCACUGAGGGAGAAUCUAGAUGGUCAGUCCUCAGGGUAUUUCAUUUCUGUCCUCUCUGCUCUAUGGCCGCUUGAAUGAAGGUGGCUUGCUGGGCCACACUUCUGCGUCUUUAAACUAAAUGACUCCUGAGAAUUGAGUUACAGCCUUACCUGAAACUGUUCAAUGGGUUUUCAUGGCUCUUGGAAUAAAGAGCCAACCCUCAGAUGGCCAACAGACUUUGCCUGCAUUGGCCCCUCCCCAUAUACCCUCCCCUACCUUGUACCAGACUGGCCCUUGUUCCCUCUGCUUCGGCCCCAGUGGCUUCUUCCAGUCAUGACACUUGCUCUGCUACAGGGUCUUUGCCCCUAAGCCCAGUGUCUGAACCCCUCUGUCACUCUCCCUGCCCUCACUUCUUCUCUCCUGGUUACCUGCCACUCACCUGCUGAUCUCAGGGCAGCCUCCACACUAAAGGCCUAUUGUAAGUCAAGGCCUAUUGUUAUACACUCUGUAACAAUUACUACAGGUAAAAUUGUACAUUCGUUUGUGUGAUUCAUUAAUUUGUUUGUCUUCUACCCCAGCCUGCAAUAUCCAUGAGAGUAGGGAGUGUCUGAGCUGUUGGAGACACAUAACAAAGAUGUGUGGAAGGAAGGGAGGGAGGGAGGGAGGAAGAGAGGGAGGCAAAGGAGGAAGACAAGUAUGUGAAUGUAAUUCUUUCUAAUUUGAUAGAAAGGAAAAAAAUGUCAUAUAUAUGAAAAGCAUUUCUAUAUUCUAACUCUGAAUUAUUAAAAUUAUCAUCAAAACAUAA